GCUAGCUCGAUACCCAUUCUCAUUUCUUCGGUUCUCCCUAUGUUUCUCUCCUCAUGGCAGAACGCCAUCAUCCGAGCUUCCCUUACCGGUUUUUGGUAAUGAUAAAAAAAAGUUAGGGAAAUUCUAGUUCAAGCACUUGAGCAUGUCCAACUGUCAAAAGCAAUUCUUAAGGCCUGUACUCUUAGUUUGUGAAAAUAUAUGUGUUGGGGUCGAUCAAUGCUUCUCAUGUCAGAGCACUAUACUAAGAGGCAAAGGAAAAUGUAUGUGUUGUUUCAACUCUUUUAUUCAGUACAAGACUUGUGAAUCAUUUUCUUUAUAAUAGGUCUAGUUAUCCAACUGCACUAACAAUCAAUAUUGAAAUUUUGAAGGCAUUGGUUACUAACCUAGCAAGAUGGUUGGUGCAGAACUCAACAUAGCUAAGGUUGCCACUAUCAAUAUGAUACGUGAUGGAAGAACUAAGUCAAGCUGCCUUAACACAUUGCUGCCAAUCCGAUGUUUCACGAAUGCACCAAACGCAUUGAGCUGGAUUUUCAUUUCCUAUAGGAGAAGAUACAAAACGGAGUAAUCAAGACUUUUCAUCUAGCAUCACAGCACCAACUAGCAUAUGCGCUCACUGAAGUCCUUGGACAUCAACAAUUUCUGCAAUUAAUCACCAAGAUGGGGAUUCAAUUCAUUUACUCUCCACCUUGAAGGGGAUAUCACAGCAUGUUAAUUUUAUGUAUUUUUAUUUGGUCUAUCGUUUUAUGUCAAUUAAUUUUGUAUUUUAAGUUAGUCACUUGGCUAAGCUAGACGCAUGUAUAUAUACCUUUUUGUAUAGUUUUAUUCUUAAGUGAAAAGUAAUCAGAACCUUCCAGUCCUU